UUUUUUACUUUUAUCAGCCGUUCAACGAUACAUAAUAUAAGUAUAUAAUAUGAAACAUAUUACCGGCUUCUAUGUACGUAGGUAUACGUCAGUCACCGACUCUAGAUUUCAACGAUGCGAAGAUGAUCGCAUAAUUAAUUUAAAAAGCGACGUUUCUAUUUCAAUGGCAUACGAUGUAAAAUUAUAUCAUUCUAAAGGGGUCGACUUAAAGGCGAGCAGCAAAUUGUUGGUGGGCGGUGGGUGGAAAUUCGACGAAGAGUGUUGUGGUGGUAAACAAGAGAUAACAAACAAACUCAAAACAUUGCCACCGAGAUCACGAGCGUUUCGAAACUCUGUGGAGGGGCCGAUAUGUAAUCCCUCGGGAACCUUUCUUCUCCAAAAAUAAAGAAAAGUCGCUGAAAAGAACGAACGCAUUUGUGUUUAAAAUUCCAUCAAAAGUCGAUUGUGCCCACGUACUGCUCAGAAAUCAAAGCCGAAGAACUUUGAACCACGUAAGGCGGAUGAAACGCGAACCAAAGCUUUGAGUCGCUGGGAAUUAUACGGUACCCGGAUUUGAGUUUUCAGUACUAUUUUAUAUGCUGCGUGAUGUACCUGAAUGCUUAUAUUUUCUGAACUUUAUUUAAUUGAAAAA